GGGGCCAUAGCUCAUCAGGGAGAGCGCCGUCCUUGCACGGCGGUGAGGCGGGUUCAAGUCCCGCUGGCUCCA
rnacentral:tRNA from 1 species